rnacentral:lncRNA from 1 species
GGGGGUUGCAGUGAGCCGAGAUUGCACCAUUGCACUCCAGCCUGGGUGACAGAAUGAGACUCCAUUUCAAAAAAAAAAAAAAGAACAAAGAAAGAAAGAAACAGAUGAGCAGGAUGUGUGGACAGGGAGAGGUUGAUGACCGUCACUGAAAUUCUGGAUCCAGCCAUACCUGAAGCCAGACCCAGCUGGAGCUUCCUAGUACGUAAGCCAUUAAAUUACAUUAUUUUGUGUUUUAAAAACACAAAAUAACUGGCUGAGUACAGUGGCUUGCACCUGAAAUCCCAGCAUUUUGAGAGGCUGAGGCAGGAGGAUCGCUUGAGCCCAGGAGUUUCAGACCUGGUGUAGACCUGAGUGUGGAGGCUCAGGGAGAGGGUUGGAGGAGGAUCCAAGGGACCUGGAAGAUUUAGAAGCCAGAGGCAGAAGGGCAUGUGGGAGAUUGAGGCAGGGAGGAAGGAUGGUAGCAGAGAUGGCUUGUCUCAGACACAAAGGGCUGACAGGCAGGAUGAGACCUCUCACCCAGAGGCCCAGGCAGCUGCAAGGCCAGCUUGUGGGUGCCGUUGAGCUCAUCUGGAACCAUGUGGGAGGCCAAGGCCAGGCCUGGGGUCACCCAUGGGCUGAAGCUGGAGGAGAGGGAAGCAACAGCUGGAGGAGGAGGAGGAAACUGUCACCAUGAUGGAAAACAUGGGAGAAGGUGGGAGUCAGCUCCUCAGAGCCCAGUGCCCCAGCUGAGAGGUCAGGAGGAGGAGGCCCUUGUGACCUUGGAAGCCAGAGCAGGACACCAAGGAAGGACCUUGGAGAAGGGAAUGUGGAGGUGAGGCUUGUGGAUUCAGCAGCAAACGAAGGGGUGGUGGUUAGAACGGUGACUGGAAGGACUGUCCUCUCCUGUUGUAUAACUCAGUUCCAUGCUGCAGAAACACAAGUCUUUCCCAUACUACAUUUCAGAGGCAAGGUUGAACUCAGGUGA